AGCCUCUGGUCGAUGGAACAAUG
rnacentral:snRNA from 1 species